AUGGUGGCGGAGAUCAAGAUCACUAAGCCAGUUGUUUGCCUUGCUCUACGCAAAGCCCCACCCAAUAAGGCUGCCAUGCUAAACAAGCCUGGUAUGGAGCGGACUGCAGGCAAAUUUGGCAAUCGGCCACGUGACUUCACGUACGAUGUCUCAAAGGCCGAUGAGAUCUAUGAUUGCUUGGAAAAAGUAGGGUUAGUUGGGUCCCCAGGGCAUCAAGUCCAGUUAGACGCACUAAAGGGACAGAAACCCAUAUGCUAG